GGGUUCGAUUCCGGAGAGGGAGCCUGAGAAACGGCUACCACAUCUAAGGAAGGCAGCAGGCGCGCAAAUUACCCAAUUCUAACAGCAUAAGAGAGGUAGUGACAAGAAAUAACAAUACAAGGCAGUUAAAAUGCUUUGUAAUUGGAAUGAUAGAAAUUUAAACACUUUUUAAAGUAUCAAUUGGAGGGCAAGUCUGGUGCCAGCAGCCGCGGUAAUUCCAGCUCCAAUAGCGUAUAUUAAAAUUGUUGCAGUUAAAAAGCUCGUAGUUGAAUUUCUGCUAAAAAUAACCGGUCUGCUUUUAAUAAAGGUGGUAUCUUGGUGUGUUUUUAGCAAUAAUGUCCUUUGAAAUGUUUUUUACUUCAUUGUAAUUAAUUAUAUUCAGGAUUUUUACUUUGAGAAAAUUAGAGUGUUUCUAGCAGGCUAACGCUUUGAAUACUGCAGCAUGGAAUAAUAAAAUAGGAUUUUGGUUCUACAUUAUUGGUUUU
rnacentral:rRNA from 1 species